CAGUAUCUCAUUUAUUAUGUUCUUAGCACUGAAUUUGUCAAGCAUGCACAGUGUACUGUUUUGCUUUUCCUCAUUUUUUCCGUCUGGGUAUUGCUUCUACCCCAUGAUUUUGAAAGAGAGGAAGCUGCUGCAGACUUGAGCUCUCCAGAGAUGCUUAGAAACUUUUGUUUUCCAAAUCAGUUUAGACUGACAGUAUUCUGGAAUGCUUGCAGAGAGUCUCACUGUGAGAGUGCAGUUUCCUCUACUGAUCUCUCCAGAGCACUGAAGGACAGUUCACAUUACUGCACUGUGUCCCACUUAGUCUUCGGCCUGUCUGGUUUAGGCACCUAAAGGCUUCACAUUGUAAGCACUUUAGUCUGUUCCCACCCUCAUUUGGUAUAUACCUGUGUGGCAUGUGCUAAUGCCAUCAGAUCCCUAAAACAGCUGUCUCUCAGUCUAGUCUCUCCAGGCUUUCCUCUAAUAGAAACUGGAAGCAGGGAGGAAGAUACAAGCUGAAAUGAAAGAGCUUCCUCUAUUGUCUGUGUCAGAGGUGAAGUCAUUUUACACAGCUGGCAGCUAAGGUAUCUUUCUGCAAGCAGGUUUCUGAUUGCAGGUGAAACUUAAUGGGUCUAGCCAAAGGAAUCUGCAGUGCUGCUGAAACCAGAGCCUUCUCUCUGAGGCAAGCACUCUGAAGGUCAGAAAUUCCGCUUAUGGGAGCAACAGUCUUCAGCUUCUCCAUUCAGGGUAAUUGUUUUGGAUCAGAACAGUUCUCCUACGUGAUUAGAAUGGAUAGCGAAUACAUCUUAAUACAUCAGCUGCUUACUGCUGCUGGUACAGUAUUCAGCCUGUGAACUGCAGCCCUUUUUUGGUCACAAAGACUUUUAAUGGUCAGACUUGUUUGAUCUGCAGCAGCAAGAACUGACAAAAUUGGAGUGCUUUACUUUAUAGUGCAGUUUAUACUGUUUUUAGCCACUGUUUUCUAUCAGGUAUACUGCAAAGGUGAUCUGUUUUAUAUCAGUUUUACUGCAAAGGUGAUAUGUUUUCAGAAUAGAACAGCCUUAGUAAGCUGGCUGUUUGUUUUUCUGUAUGCACACUUUCAGAACCAAAAUAAUUUUUUUUUUUUUUGCUCUUUUGCAUUACACAGUUUUCAGUGUUACAGACAAAAUGACUGUAAUUCUGUGAACUGCUGUUACUGCUCAGACUCAUCUAAUUUUUCCUUGCUGGAGUGUGGAGCGCUGUGUUGCAGCCCACGUGGUGUAUGUUUUUCCUUGCUCAUUAAAUUUAACAAGGGUAAUUUCUUGUUUUCUCUUCUCUUAGUGCUUUUGUGAUCUCACGUUGAACUGAUUUGACUGAUAAAGGGGAUUAAUUGCUGUGCAGAAAGUUAAUGAGAAAAAAGCAGUGUUCUUUCAGAGAUGCAACUGCACCAAUAUUUUCCCUGUCAGCAUUCAACGAGAGUAUAGAAAAGUUAGCAUUACUGAGAUAGCUGUUGUUUAAUUAAACCACGCUUCUGUGGUCCAAAAAAGGUCCCUGGGAAGUAAUUGUGUUUUGGAUCAGGCUUUUGAUGGGCACAGCGAGUUCAUGUUUAACUGUUGUGAUUAGCACUGCCCAGGUGCAGGAUGUGUAAAGAUGGUCCUUAUCUCUGUUGAACACAGGGCAAUUCUAUGGGCAUUCUUACAGUUUUGUGUACCAUGUGUUUCUCUUCCAUCCUUGAUCAAGGAGGGAAAUUUUGCCUGUAAGUGUUAAUUUGGUUUAAUGAUACUAAUAAAAAUGUCUAAGCUUAAUGUGCUGCCAUGUGAUUAUUCUUCUGUUUUUUACUUGUUACUGUUAUUUCCUAUCGUCAAGUUAUGUAUACAUGUA
rnacentral:lncRNA from 1 species